ACAGAAACGAGCGUCUCAGACGACACAUUUGGACGACACCAAUUUUGACACCACAGUAGUGGCAAUGGAAAGUAAUGCAGCUACUCUUGAAGAUAUAACAGAUAAUAAGCAGGGCAUGAACGAAGUAUGGAGGAUCUGUUUGAAAAUUCCAGACAUGAGAAAGAAAAUGACAGGGAGAGAUGUCCAGUUCAACGUUACCAGGACAAUUCAGCAAAGUUCCAACAGAUAUAAAAAAUCUGAAUUUGAGGCAAAUAUAUACUGUCAUGUAUAUAUAUAAGAUGGAUAAAGGACAUGAUACUUUAGCAGUGCUUCAGAGAAUCACAUUUGGCUACAGAAGUUUGUAGUAUUUUGGUUGUAAUCAAGUUAUUAAGCUGAAGCUUCAUAGUAAAACAGAUCUAGGCUACACCUUCACUAUUCAAGUCAGACUUUAAAAGGAAGCCUUUUUUGUUGAUAGCUGAACAUAUGAAGAAACUUUCAAAAGAGUGGAGCAUUUAGAAGACGGAACAAUCAAAUAUUAUUUG